UUGUCUCAAAGAUUAAGCCAUGCAUGUCUAAGUAUAAGCAAUUAUACCGUGAAACUGCGAAUGGCUCAUUAAAUCAGUUAUCGUUUAUUUGAUAAUACCUUACUACUUGGAUAACCGUGGUAAUUCUAGAGCUAAUACAUGCUGAAAAUCCCGACUUCGGAAGGGAUGUGUUUAUUAGAUAAAAAACCAAUGCCCUUCGGGGCUUUUUGGUGAUUCAUGAUAACUUUACGGAUCGCAUAGCCUUGCGCUGGCGACGGUUCAUUCAAAUUUCUGCCCUAUCAACUUUCGAUGGUAAGGUAUUGGCUUACCAUGGUUUCAACGGGUAACGGGGAAUUAGGGUUCGAUUCCGGAGAGGGAGCCUGAGAAACGGCUACCACAUCCAAGGAAGGCAGCAGGCGCGCAAAUUACCCAAUCCCGACACGGGGAGGUAGUGACAAUAAAUACUGAUACAGGGCUCUUUUGGGUCUUGUAAUUGGAAUGAGUACAAUUUAAACCUCUUAACGAGGAACAAUUGGAGGGCAAGUCUG
rnacentral:rRNA from 1 species